rnacentral:tRNA from 1 species
UGGGGAAAUGGCUGAGUGGUCAAAAGCGACGGAUUGCUAAUCCGUUACCCCUUUAAGGGGUACAAGGGUUCGAAUCCCUUUUUCUCCGA